rnacentral:rRNA from 1 species
AUUGAACGCUGGCGGCAGGCCUAACACAUGCAAGUCGAACGAGUGGCGGACGGGUGAGUAAUGUCUGGGAAACUGCCUGAUGGAGGGGGAUAACUACUGGAAACGGUAGCUCAUACCGCAUACCAUCGGAUGUGCCCAGAUGGGAUUAGCUAGUAGGUGGGGUAAAGGCUCACCUAGGCGACGAUCCCUAGCUGGUCUGAGAGGAUGACCAGCCACCCUGGAACUGAGACACGGUCCAGACUCCUACGGGAGGCAGCAGUGGGGAAUAUUGCACAAUGGGCGCAAGCCUGAUGCAGCCAUGCCGCGUGUAUGAAGAAGGCCUUCGGGUUGUAAAGUACUUUCAGCGGGGAGGCGUUACUCGCAGAAGAAGCACCGGCUAACUCCGGGCCAGUAGCCGCGGUAAUUC